rfam:Candidatus Terrybacteria bacterium RIFCSPLOWO2_02_42_20 rifcsplowo2_02_sub10_scaffold_796, whole genome shotgun sequence.
GGGCAGGUGGUAGAGUGGUCAAUUACACCAGACUGUAAAUCUGGCGGCCUAUGGCCUUCGGUGGUUCAAAUCCACCCCUGCCCA